rnacentral:rRNA from 1 species
UACGGAGGGGGCUAGCGUUGUUCGGAAUUACUGGGCGUAAAGGGCGCGUAGGUGGCGUCGUAAGUCAGGCGUGAAAGGCCCGGGCUCAACCCGGGAACUGCGCUUGAUACUGCGGCGCUCGAGUCCGGGAGAGGAUGGCGGAAUUCCCAGUGUAGAGGUGAAAUUCGUAGAUAUUGGGAAGAACACCGGUGGCGAAGGUGGCCAUCGGGACCGGUACUGACUGUAAGGCCCGAAAGCGUGGGGAGCAAACAGG